GGUUAAGCGACUAAGCGUACACGGUGGAUGCCCUGGCAGUCAGAGGCGAUGAAGGACGUGCUAAUCUGCGAAAAGCGUCGGUAAGGUGAUAUGAACCGUUAUAACCGGCGAUGUCCGAAUGGGGAAACCCAGUGCAAUUCGUUGCACUAUCGUUAACUGAAUACAUAGGUUAACGAGGCGAACCGGGGGAACUGAAACAUCUAAGUACCCCGAGGAAAAGAAAUCAACCGAGAUUCCCCCAGUAGCGGCGAGCGAACGGGGAGCAGCCCAGAGUCUGAAUCAGCUUGUGUGUUAGUGGAACGGUCUGGAAAGUCCGACGGUACAGGGUGAUAGUCCCGUACACCAAAAUGCACAGGCUGUGAACUCGAAGAGUAGGGCGGGACACGUGGUAUCCUGUCUGAAUAUGGGGGGACCAUCCUCCAAGGCUAAAUACUCCUGACUGACCGAUAGUGAACCAGUACCGUGAGGGAAAGGCGAAAAGAACCCCGGCGAGGGGAGUGAAAAAGAACCUGAAACCGUGUACGUACAAGCAGUGGGAGCACCUUCGGGUGUGACUGCGUACCUUUUGUAUAAUGGGUCAGCGACUUAUAUUCUGUAGCAAGGUUAACCGUAUAGGGGAGCCGCAGGGAAACCGAGUCUUAACUGGGCGUUAAGUUGCAGGGUAUAGACCCGAAACCCGGUGAUCUAGCCAUGGGCAGGUUGAAGGUUGGGUAACACUAACUGGAGGACCGAACCGACUAAUGUUGAAAAAUUAGCGGAUGACUUGUGGCUGGGGGUGAAAGGCCAAUCAAACCGGGAGAUAGCUGGUUCUCCCCGAAAGCUAUUUAGGUAGCGCCUCGUGAACUCAUCUUCGGGGGUAGAGCACUGUUUCGGCUAGGGGGUCAUCCCGACUUACCAACCCGAUGCAAACUACGAAUACCGAAGAAUGUUAUCACGGGAGACACACGGCGGGUGCUAACGUCCGUCGUGAAGAGGGAAACAACCCAGACCGCCAGCUAAGGUCCCAAAGUCAUGGUUAAGUGGGAAACGAUGUGGGAAGGCACAGACAGCCAGGAUGUUGGCUUAGAAGCAGCCAUCAUUUAAAGAAAGCGUAAUAGCUCACUGGUCGAGUCGGCCUGCGCGGAAGAUGUAACGGGGCUAAACCAUGCACCGAAGCUGCGGCAGCGACACUAUGUGUUGUUGGGUAGGGGAGCGUUCUGUAAGCCUGCGAAGGUGUGCUGUGAGGCAUGCUGGAGGUAUCAGAAGUGCGAAUGCUGACAUAAGUAACGAUAAAGCGGGUGAAAAGCCCGCUCGCCGGAAGACCAAGGGUUCCUGUCCAACGUUAAUCGGGGCAGGGUGAGUCGACCCCUAAGGCGAGGCCGAAAGGCGUAGUCGAUGGGAAACAGGUUAAUAUUCCUGUACUUGGUGUUACUGCGAAGGGGGGACGGAGAAGGCUAUGUUAGCCGGGCGACGGUUGUCCCGGUUUAAGCAUGUAGGCUGGUUAUCCAGGCAAAUCCGGAUAAUCAAGGCUGAGGUGUGAUGACGAGGCACUACGGUGCUGAAGUAACAAAUGCCCUGCUUCCAGGAAAAGCCUCUAAGCAUCAGGUAACAUCAAAUCGUACCCCAAACCGACACAGGUGGUCAGGUAGAGAAUACCAAGGCGCUUGAGAGAACUCGGGUGAAGGAACUAGGCAAAAUGGUGCCGUAACUUCGGGAGAAGGCACGCUGGUGUGUAGGUGAAGUCCCUGCGGAUGGAGCUGAGACCAGUCGAAGAUACCAGCUGGCUGCAACUGUUUAUUAAAAACACAGCACUGUGCAAACACGAAAGUGGACGUAUACGGUGUGACGCCUGCCCGGUGCCGGAAGGUUAAUUGAUGGGGUUAUCCGUAAGGAGAAGCUCUUGAUCGAAGCCCCGGUAAACGGCGGCCGUAACUAUAACGGUCCUAAGGUAGCGAAAUUCCUUGUCGGGUAAGUUCCGACCUGCACGAAUGGCGUAAUGAUGGCCAGGCUGUCUCCACCCGAGACUCAGUGAAAUUGAACUCGCUGUGAAGAUGCAGUGUACCCGCGGCAAGACGGAAAGACCCCGUGAACCUUUACUAUAGCUUGACACUGAACAUUGAGCCUUGAUGUGUAGGAUAGGUGGGAGGCUUUGAAGCGUGGACGCCAGUCUGCGUGGAGCCAACCUUGAAAUACCACCCUUUAAUGUUUGAUGUUCUAACGUUGGCCCCUGACCGGGGUUGCGGACAGUGUCUGGUGGGUAGUUUGACUGGGGCGGUCUCCUCCCAAAGCGUAACGGAGGAGCACGAAGGUUAGCUAAUCCUGGUCGGACAUCAGGAGGUUAGUGCAAUGGCAUAAGCUAGCUUGACUGCGAGCGUGACGGCGCGAGCAGGUGCGAAAGCAGGUCAUAGUGAUCCGGUGGUUCUGAAUGGAAGGGCCAUCGCUCAACGGAUAAAAGGUACUCCGGGGAUAACAGGCUGAUACCGCCCAAGAGUUCAUAUCGACGGCGGUGUUUGGCACCUCGAUGUCGGCUCAUCACAUCCUGGGGCUGAAGUAGGUCCCAAGGGUAUGGCUGUUCGCCAUUUAAAGUGGUACGCGAGCUGGGUUUAGAACGUCGUGAGACAGUUCGGUCCCUAUCUGCCGUGGGCGCUGGAGAAUUGAGGGGGGCUGCUCCUAGUACGAGAGGACCGGAGUGGACGCAUCACUGGUGUUCGGGUUGUCAUGCCAAUGGCACUGCCCGGUAGCUAAAUGCGGAAGAGAUAAGUGCUGAAAGCAUCUAAGCACGAAACUUGCCCCGAGAUGAGUUCUCCCUGAGACUAUAAGUCUCCUGAAGGAACGUUAAAGACGAUGACGUUGAUAGGCCGGGUGUGUAAGCGCAGCGAUGCGUUGAGCUAACCGGUACUAAUGAACCGUGAGGCUUAACCUU
rnacentral:rRNA from 3 species